CUUGGAAAAUAGUUAGUUUUGUUUUCCCUCGAAUCUUAAUGUUGAGAUUGAGAUUCUCGGGAAAACAAAACUAACUAUUUCCCUU
rnacentral:miRNA from 1 species